UACGUAGGGAGCAAGCGCUGUCCGGAAUCAUUGGGCGUAAAGCGCGCGUAGGCGGCCUCAUAAGUCCGUUGUGAAAGUCAAAGGCUCAACCUUUGAAAGCCGAUGGAUACUGUGAGGCUAGAGUCCGGAAGAGGCGAGUGGAAUUCCUGGUGUAGCGGUGGAAUGCGCAGAUAUCAGGAGGAACACCAAUAGCGAAGGCAGCUCGCUGGGACGGUACUGACGCUAAGGCGCGAAAGCGUGGGGAGCGAACAGG
rnacentral:rRNA from 1 species